rnacentral:rRNA from 1 species
CCCUUAGAUGUCCUGGGCCGCACGCGCGUUACACUGAUGCAUUCAACGAGCUUAUAACCUUGGCCGAGAGGCCUGGGCAAUCUUGUUAACGUGCAUCGUGAUAGGGAUAGAUUAUUGAAAUUAUUAAUCUUGAACGAGGAAUCCCUAGUAAACGCAGAUCAUCAAUCUGCAUUGAUUACGUCCCUGCCCUUUGUACACACCGCCCGUCGCACCUACCGAUUGGAUGGUCCGGUGAAGCCUCGGGAUUGUGGUUCUUGCCGCUUUAUUGUGGCGUGACCGCGAGAACUUGUCUAAACCUUAUCAUCUAGAGGAAGGUGAAGUCGUAACA